UAGGGAAUCUUCCGCAAUGGGCGAAAGCCUGACGGAGCAACGCCGCGUGAGUGAUGAAGGUCUUCGGAUCGUAAAACUCUGUUAUUAGGGAAGAACAAAUGUGUAAGUAACUAUGCACGUCUUGACGGUACCUAAUCAGAAUGCCACGGCUAACUACGUGCCAGCAGCCGCGGUAAUACGUAGGUGGCAAGCGUUAUCCGAAAUUAUUGGGCGUAAAGCGCGCGUAGGCGGUUUUUUAAGUCUGAUGUGAAAGCCCACGGCUCAACCGUGGAGGGUCAUUGGAAACUGGAAAACUUGAGUGCAGAAGAGGAAAGUGGAAUUCCAUGUGUAGCGGUGAAAUGCGCAGAGAUAUGGAGGAACACCAGUGGCGAAGGCGACUUUCUGGUCUGUAACUGACGCUGAUGUGCGAAAGCGUGGGGAUCAAACAGG
rnacentral:rRNA from 1 species